rnacentral:rRNA from 1 species
UACAGAGGAGCCAAGCGUUGUCCGGAUUGACUGGGCGUAAAGCGCACGCAGGCGGUUUGGCGCGUGGGGUGUGAAAUCUGGCCGCUUAACGGCCAGGCGCCAUCCCAUACGGCGAAACUGGAGUGAUGCAGAGGUCGAUGGAAUUGCCGGUGUAGUGGUGAAAUGCGUAGAGAUCGGCAGGAACACCCAGGGGGAAACCAGGCGACUGGGCAUCUACUGACGCUGAGGUGCGAGAGCGUGGGGAGCGAACCGG